rnacentral:lncRNA from 1 species
CGGUUUUGGCCAGACUUCACCUUCAGUAGCAACUCUGCCAAACUGCGUGGGCUGCGUUCCGAGGCUCCCAGAAAAUCCGCAAGUGGUGCUGACUCAUGGGAAAAGGCUGGGUCUGGCUGUUCACCAUGAUGAUGUGGCACAAAAUUUCAAGUUAAGCCAGUGAAGCUGCCAGAUUCUGUAUGGAGAGUAGAAGCAAAGAAAUCUCAGAGCUCCUCUAACAGCUUAUAGCCUUCAUUGUGUUGUAAUUUUUGCAUCCCAGAACAGUUUAAAUUUGUAAUCUGCAAUAAAGAUCACACAAUUUAUGAGUAUAAGAG